GGCUUUUCUGGAGGCUGCCCCCCCCCUCCUCCCCCGCCUUGAAACAAAAGUAGAGGUGGAAACUGAGUGGGCAGGAUGGUUAACAUUUACUGCAUUUAAUGUGAAUCGCAAUUAUGGAACAAAACCGCUGUGAGGAGAUGCGAGCGACCCGGUCUUGAGACAACGCAGCUAUUCGUGUGCCUCGUUCUUUGUGGCUAGGUGGAAUUCCGCUUCUGCUUAGGUAACAGCUGCAGUCUGAUGUAAAAUUCCUCUAAUGCUAUGGCACUUGUGCAAAGCAGAUUCUGCUGAUUAAGAACUCCUAUUUAUGUUUUCUAAUGUGAUUUUUAAAACCCCCAAAGAAGGUGACAUCUCCUUCCCAGACAGAAGGACCAGUUAACCAAAUGACGUCUUGCAAGAGGAGUUCAACUGUUUGUCCUUUACUGUGAAUGCGAACGUACUUCAGUACAUCAAAGAAAAGAGAAUUCUGAUGGUGUGCCACAAAACUUGCAGUCCUGGUGCCGCUGAGGGUGUCGUAGCUUUUAACGACACGGUCUUCACUGGGAUAUGAAGUUAUAACCUGUCAGACAAAUUGGAAGUCAGCAAGCUCUGAAGAAAACCAACAUGGCUGGGUAAACAGAUGAAGUCAAAUCUACUAGGGGAACUUUCAGGUUUCUGACUCCAAAUCAAUAUCUGUUGGUAUGUGCAUCUUACCCCCUGGGAGCUGCAUGCAUGGAAUGAGAUUCACAAUCUGCUUCCAAGAAAUGCAGUCUGUUCAAUACCACAUACAGAAGGCACUAAAAUCCUAUCCAGAUUUCCUCCCUAUCUAAUGCUUAUACUCCCUCUUUCUGAUGACAUACCUUUUCCUCCCUAAUAUCCAUUUUACUUGACUAGCUAUGAAAUUUCUUUUAUGAAGGCUGAAUAUAGCAUCUCAGGCUGUGUGUACAAGAUGCAUGGACAGGCCAUGAAACCUAGGUGCAUGUGUUAGAACAUAUAUCAGACAUUUCUGUACAUGUGCUGAGCCUGUUCCAUCUAUAACAAAAGAAAAAAUCCCUAGGGCUAAGGACGGAAGAAAUGUGAGGCAUCAAACAAGAUUCAGAAACAAAAAUGGAGAAGAACAUGAUAAAGAAGAUCCCGACAGUGAUCCUUUGGGAAAAAGAUACGGUCUCUCAGGAUAUAAGAAUAGGCAUGUAAGUGAUGGAUAUUUAUUUUAUGGAAGUACUUUAAACCUAGGCUAGAAAGAAAAAAAAGAAGUUGUAUCCAUGAUCAGAUGAAUUUCUUACACUUGCAGUGGAGAAAAAUUGAGUAAGACUCCUGAAACCAACAUAUCUAAUCCAUUUGAGUAUUGCUAAUUACAAUGAAACAAUAUUUUAGUGGUAAGAGACUCUAAUGAGGUAUGACAUGUCCUUUUCUGAGCACUAUAUCAAUAAAGAUCCUCUUCAAGGUUUGCACCAGAUUUCCUUUACAGAUCAUGGUUUCUAAUGGCAGGCAAGUCCAUUAAAGAAUAUACUAGGGUCAACAUUAUAGACCCUGAUAGCUCAACAUCUAUCUGGUGAUACAGAGGAAACCUACAUUGCAAGAAAGAGUGCUGCUGAUAUGACUGCUGCCUCUGUAAAUCAAGAUCCCCAAGCACCACUGAAAUCAUCCAUUUAAAGGUUUUUGAUGUAACUGUAGUUUAUGGAUCCAAUUACGUUAGUUCAAAGCCUCUCAAAUCAUUUGGGAAAUGAUUAUCAGCAAGCUGUAAAUGGCCAAAAUUUCCAGUUCAGGAAAAAAACACCACAAAGAUCCAUCUUAACCAUAACACUUCCUAUAUAGGGACGUCAUUAAUCAGUCACAAAAUUAGGAGUGCCACAGCUAUAAAAUCCUGGUCAUUCCCUUCAUAGGUUGUUAUGCUUUAAACUCUACUAACAUUUACAGAAAGAGACUUAUCAUUAUUAGGAAAAAAAGUAGCCCUGAGAAGCAGUUGCAAUAUUAAGUUUCAAGUACAUUUUAUAACGUUAAGUAACUUGCAUAUUUUCAGCCACACACUACUGUGGUUUUGUCCUCGGGGUUGUUAACCUCAAAUAAUGGAACGUUUCUUGCCUUAAAACCUGGUAAGUCCUACAUGACAAAAGUUUUACCCAGAUGAAGUGAACAUUUCAGUACCAAAUUUCUGCAACGUGCUUCCAAGCAGCUUAGAGGUUGGUUGAAACUUUUUAAAAAUCAAUGCAUUAAAAAAGAUUACUGUACAAAAUAAGCAAAGUAAGCAUGCCAAGUAUUCAAUAUCAGUGGUUCUUUUUUUUCAUUUUUUUUUUUUUUUAAUUUUAAGGAAAACUGCAUGAGGUCUACUUGCCUUUGCACUAUGCUUGAGGGAGGUUCAAUUAUCAUAUGUAUUCACUGUUUGAUUACCUGUCUAUCAGUGCAAUGUGCCAUCACAAUAGCUUGCUGUAUAACAUCAUAGUUAUAGUUCCAAGAAUGCCAAAGCAUUUUCUUUCAUGUUAAAUUGCAGUCAUUUUGCUUUUUGAGUGAUCCAACCAGCUGGAAUCUUCAUAUUAUCCUCUUUACUUAAAAUGAAGAUAAUAGGUCAUAUAUAUUCAAAAAGCAUCAGCAUUUCAUAUGGUACCUGUUCAUUUCAACAGUGCAUUUUAAGAGGUGCUUUGGAUGGGGAGCAGGAGGGAAGUUGAAAACAAACAGAAAAGAAAAUUAUACUGGAUCUGAUGAAACUUAAACACUGUAAACUCAGAGAUUAGAGUAUACAAAAUUGCUGGUUUCACAGCUACGAGGAAUUCUACAGGAUUGUCCUAGUUCUCUGGAGGGAAGAAACCAUGGCAUAUUCAAAGCAUAAGGCAGCUAUCCAAGUCAAUUUGGAUGGACAAAGUCAAGAAGCUCAAAGCCUCCAGAAAUGUCCUAGGAUUCUGCUGAGUCUGGUAAAGCUGAUAAUCCCUAUUUACAACAGUCUUUUACUAGCAGAUGAUCUUCCUUUGUUAAGGAAAAGCUAAUAAAAUGUUAUGAUUGCAUCCUAAGGUAAGUAUGGAGGAAAGAACUGUUCAGGCACAAGGACUGAGAUACAUAGUGGUAAGUUGCAGAAGAGCAACUUAGUUGCAAUAUAUUGAAAAUUUCAGGCUAUUAGUGAUGAAUAUUACACUCUUGAAGGGUGAAAAAUUAGUUGACUCAAAGUGUUUAUGAAUAAUCUGUGAUAGAGUAGCUACAUCCUUCACUGCACUCCUUUAAUCUUAAAAACUACAUUUCAUUCAGUGCUGUGUUUAUGCAGUUAUCUUUUAUAAUAACGUUUAAAGACUAGGAUGACACAUUAGAUCAUCCUGCCCUUCUUCCCGUAUCCAAGUGUUCUGAUGCAGCAGGUUUUGAGUAUUUCAUUGCCAUACUCCAUACUAACACAUUAAAAUGCAUUUGAUGGUAUACAAUUCUAAUACAGACUUUUUUUUUUGACAUAAUAUAUUUUAACUUCCUGAUAUCAGAAUUCAUUUAGAUGUAACAGCUACCUCAAAAUUCUUUAAAACAGAUAAGACCCAUAGGUAUGAGUAUUUCUCUCACAAUGGAGAGAAAUAGGAUUCUCAAUGGAGAGAAAUAGAUACAUUUAAAGCAUCUUACAUAUGCCUAAACAAGGGCAUUAAGUGAAAUAUAAACCUUUGUUUGUUAGAAACUCCACCUAUAUUCAUCAACUACUGUGGGUAUCACCCCAGACAAGUUGAAUCAUUUAACCACCAGCAGGUAUACACUGUCUGGCCAUUACUAAUAGGCGUGAGGUCAUCCUAUCCAUAGGGAUCUAACUGAUAUUCCUCAAAUCUUAUGGAAAUAAUUGCCUUUAAGAUUUUACUCCAUCACAAAUACUCUUUAAUCUAAUCAAUAAAUGUAAAAGUAACUGUUGGAAAAGGAGGAAAUGGAAAAUGGAAACUAAGAUUUCUGUCUCACCUCUCUGCACCACACAGUCUGGAAUGAUAGAUGGAUUAAAUAGACAAAUAUACUUCUAACAGAAUACAGAGUUGUGUAUAAAACCUGUAUUCCAAUAGGCUUUGAAUCAGACUCUUAUAUAUGAUGUAAUAUGCAUUAUUCCAGAGCCACUUAGGCAAAGAUAUACCCAGUUUUAAAGAACACUCAUUCCAUAAAAAAAAAACAAACACUUCACCUGCAUUUUACCACUGUUAGAGAAAAAAUGCAAACUGGGAAGCCAGACAACUCUAUAUCUAUUAAUAAUGUUACAGGACUAUUUAUAUCUAACCAAAGUGCUGCAUUUCCAUAGCAAGCUGCUUGAAUUCAUCUUACUGUGCUUAACAUAUUUUUCUGAUUUUUUACUGGACACAUAAAGAUAUAGAUACAAAUAGCUGCUUUGGAGUAUCAAAUGAUACACACAACAUAAAAUUAAAUAUGUUCUUUAGCUCAGUAGGAACCACUAGGAGAGGUACCCUGUAAAAGAUUGCACAGGAGAUAGGUCUAAUCAUCAUUAUUUUCAAAAUAUAUUUCAUUAAAUUUUCCUUGACAGAGCAGGCAGUUUGCUACAGAUCACGUUAUGAUCAUUUAUGUGUCUGUGGUCCAACAAAACUCAGAAAUUAAACACUUCAUUAAGUCACAGGGCAAGAUUCAGGAUCAAAUACUGUGGGUACAUUACUUUGAAUCCAUUUAGGUCAAUUAGGUAUCCACGUCCUUGGCACCUAACUUCAAAUUAAGGACUUAAAAUGCCACUAUUCAAAACACCUUCAGAUACUAAGCUAAUUCCAAGUAUUCCAGCAAAUCUUGAAAACCUUGAGUGUCACUACUGAACGUCUUUAAAAUUAGCAAUAAAUCAGAAUUCAUAAAAACAAAUUUCACAGUUCUGAAUUUUUUCACCUAAAAGCAACCUCAUCAUUUCUUUUCUUUAAGAUAUACCUGUCUACCUUGCUCUCAGAUCCUGCUGGAGUCUAGAUUUACUUUUCAGAAGAAGUCAUGACCCUCAACUCUUUGACCAACUUGGUAGCCUUCUAUGAUGUUGUCACUGGCUGGGUGGAUGGGAGGAGAGCUGUGGAU